GAUGAACGCUGGCGGCGUGCUUAACACAUGCAAGUCGAACGAUGAUCUCCAGCUUGCUGGGGGGAUUAGUGGCGAACGGGUGAGUAACACGUGAGUAACCUGCCCUUGACUCUGGGAUAAGCCUGGGAAACUGGGUCUAAUACUGGAUACGACCUUCCCACGCAUGUGGUGUUGGUGGAAAGCUUUUGUGGUUUUGGAUGGACUCGCGGCCUAUCAGCUUGUUGGUGGGGUAAUGGCCUACCAAGGCGACGACGGGUAGCCGGCCUGAGAGGGUGGACGGCCACACUGGGACUGAGACACGGCCCAGACUCCUACGGGAGGCAGCAGUGGGGAAUAUUGCACAAUGGGCGCAAGCCUGAUGCAGCGACGCCGCGUGAGGGAUG
rnacentral:rRNA from 1 species